AGAGUUUGAUCAUGGCUCAGGACGAACGCUGGCGGCGUGCUUAACACAUGCAAGUCGAACGGAAAGGCCCUGCUUGCAGGGUACUCGAGUGGCGAACGGGUGAGUAACACGUGGGUAAUCUGCCCUGCACUCUGGGAUAAGCCUGGGAAACUGGGUCUAAUACUGGAUAUGACCAUUUGCUGAUGGCUUUUGGUGGAAAGUUUUUCGGUGCAGGAUGAGCCCGCGGCCUAUCAGCUUGUUGGUGGGGUAAUGGCCUACCAAGGCGACGACGGGUAGCCGGCCUGAGAGGGUGAUCGGCCACAUUGGGACUGAGAUACGGCCCAGACUCCUACGGGAGGCAGCAGUGGGGAAUAUUGCACAAUGGGCGGAAGCCUGAUGCAGCGACGCCGCGUGAGGGAUGACGGCCUUCGGGUUGUAAACCUCUUUCGGUAGGGACGAAGCGUAAGUGACGGUACCUGCAGAAGAAGCACCGGCUAACUACGUGCCAGCAGCCGCGGUAAUACGUAGGGUGCGAGCGUUGUCCGGAAUUACUGGGCGUAAAGAGCUCGUAGGCGGUUUGUCGCGUCGUCUGUGAAAUCCUAGGGCUUAACCCUGGACGUGCAGGCGAUACGGGCAGGCUUGAGUGCUACAGGGGAGACUGGAAUUUCUGGUGGAGCGGUGAAAUGCGCAGAUAUCAGGAAGAACACCAAUGGCGAAGGCAGGUCUCUGGGUAGUAACUGACGCUGAGGAGCGAAAGCAUGGGUAGCGAACAGGAUUAGAUACCCUGGUAGUCCAUGCCGUAAACGAUGGGCGCUAGGUGUGG
rnacentral:rRNA from 1 species